GAUGAAGAACGCAGCGAAACGCGAUAUGUAAUGUGAAUUGCAGAAUUCAGUGAAUCAUCGAAUCUUUGAACGCACAUGGCGCCUUCCAGUAUCCUGGGAGGCAUGCCUGUCCGAGCGUCGUUUCAACCCUCGAGCCGCCGUGGCCCGGCGUUGGGGAUCUGCCCAGGCAGUCCCCGAAAACCAGUGGCGGACCCGUUACAGGCCCUUCCCUUGCGUAGUAGCAUUCGCCUCGCAUCGGGAGCCGGCGGGCUUCCAGCCUCUAAACCCCCAUCAAGUCCGCCCCGGCGGCACCAAGGUUGACCUCGGAUCAGGUAGGAAUACCCGCUGAACUUAAGCAUAUCAAUAAGCGGAGGA
rnacentral:misc_RNA from 1 species